GUGGCAGGUCGGCGGUAAUUAGCGAUGGCGGAGCUCCGAGAAGCUCAAAUUUGUGGCGGAUUGCUGUUUAACUUGAUGGGAUAAUGAAUCGUUGAUGUCGGCUAUGAUACUAUGAUAGUUCUUUUGAUACUUGGAUCGAUCUUAUUGUCGAGAAUCUCCACGUGCUGGUCCAAACUUACUCAUCGUCUCUUUUGACUUUUGCAAGGUCGGCCUGAGACGUUGUCCUGCAGGAUGAGGACUGCUCGAAGAUGACCGAAGCGUGAUGUAGUGACGAACCAGGACUUUGAGGUGACUGCAGACUGACUAUGGAGUUUGGCAGGAAUCAUUAUUCAUUAAGCAACGAUCGUCAUAACAGAACAAUAAUAAGGAACAUCUAUCUCUUCGGUAUGUUUUGCAAGAUCCCGCCGUUUUCUAACUGCCAGAGAAGUAAGCCAGUGGAGAGGAUGGUAUUGACUGAUGAGUCCAAGAUGUCUGUGAAGUAUGAUCAGAUCUCGAAGACUUGAAUCAGGAUGAAGUGAGAUAGAGCUGUGGGAGCUCCUUUUUGCAGAUGCCGAGCUUACGAGCUCAAGCAGAGUCGACGAACUCGAGCAGAAUUGGGAAGCCACAAAUUGCCUUGGUGACAUAAUCUGGGUGAUAGCUUUGGUAGAGAUUUGACAUCUGGCUUUGUAUCUUUUAUGGUAGAAGCCCUUGUGAACGACCUCUUUGCCCUUUUCUUUUUUGGAGAGUUUGAUUUGGAGAAGAAGCUGUGAACGACCUUCCUUUCUUAUUUGUUUCUUUGUCUGUGAUUGUGGAGGAGUUGUGGAAGACAUCGGUGUUGAUAUGUGAAUACCGACAAGGGACAAAACAGUAAUUUAGAUCGGAA